rnacentral:rRNA from 1 species
UGGGGAAUUUUGGACAAUGGGCGAAAGCCUGAUCCAGCAAUGCCGCGUGUGUGAAGAAGGCCUUCGGGUUGUAAAGCACUUUUGUCCGGAAAGAAAUCCUUGGCUCUAAUACAGUCGGGGGAUGACGGUACCGGAAGAAUAAGCACCGGCUAACUACGUGCCAGCAGCCGCGGUAAUACGUAGGGUGCAAGCGUUAAUCGGAAUUACUGGGCGUAAAGCGUGCGCAGGCGGUUUGCUAAGACCGAUGUGAAAUCCCCGGGCUCAACCUGGGAACUGCAUUGGUGACUGGCAGGCUAGAGUAUGGCAGAGGGGGGUAGAAUUCCACGUGUAGCAGUGAAAUGCGUAGAGAUGUGGAGGAAUACCGAUGGCGAAGGCAGCCCCCUGGGCCAAUACUGACGCUCAUGCACGAAAGCGUGGGGAGCAAACAGGAUUAGAUACCCUGGUAGUCCACGCCCUAAACGAUGUCAACUAGUUGUUGGGGAUUCAUUCCUUAGUAACGUAGCUAACGCGUGAAGUUGACCGCCUGGGGAGUACGGUCGCAAGAUUAAAACUCAAAUGAAUUGACGGGGUCAUAGCUGUUUUCU